rnacentral:rRNA from 1 species
AAUAGAUACCCGGGUAGUCCACGCCGUAAACGAUGAGUGCUAAGUGUUAGAGGGUUUCCGCCCUUUAGUGCUGCAGCUAACACAUUAAGCACUCCGCCUGGGGAGUACGGUCGCAAGACUGAAACUCAAAGGAAUUGACGGGGGCCCGCACAAGCGGUGGAGCAUGUGGUUUAAUUCGAAGCAACGCGAAGAACCUUACCAGGUCUUGACAUCCCACUGACCGGUAUAGAGAUAUACCUUUCCCUUCGGGGACAGUGGUGACAGGUGGUGCAUGGUUGUCGUCAGCUCGUGUCGUGAGAUGUUGGGUUAAGUCCCGCAACGAGCGCAACCCUUGAUCUUAGUUGCCAGCAUUUAGUUGGGCACUCUAAGGUGACUGCCGGUGACAAACCGGAGGAAGGUGGGGAUGACGUCAAAUCAUCAUGCCCCUUAUGACCUGGGCUACACACGUGCUACAAUGGAUGGUACAAAGGGCUGCAAGACUGCGAAGUCAAGCCAAUCCCAUAAAACCAUUCUCAGUUCGGAUUGCAGG